GAUGAACGCUGGCGGCGUGCUUAACACAUGCAAGUCGAACGGAAAGGCCCAAGCUUGCUUGGGUACUCGAGUGGCGAACGGGUGAGUAACACGUGGGUGAUCUGCCCUGCACUUCGGGAUAAGCCUGGGAAACUGGGUCUAAUACCGGAUAGGACCGCAUUUUGGAUGGUGUGGUGGAAAGUUUUUCGGUGUGGGAUGAGCUCGCGGCCUAUCAGCUUGUUGGUGGGGUAAUGGCCUACCAAGGCGUCGACGGGUAGCCGGCCUGAGAGGGUGUACGGCCACAUUGGGACUGAGAUACGGCCCAGACUCCUACGGGAGGCAGCAGUGGGGAAUAUUGCACAAUGGGCGCAAGCCUGAUGCAGCGACGCCGCGUGGGGGAUGACGGCCUUCGGGUUGUAAACUCCUUUCGCUAGGGACGAAGCGUUAUGUGACGGUACCUGGAGAAGAAGCACCGGCUAACUACGUG
rnacentral:rRNA from 1 species